rnacentral:rRNA from 1 species
AGUGAACGCUGGCGGUAGGCCUAACACAUGCAAGUCGAACGGCAGCACAGUAAGAGCUUGCUCUUACGGGUGGCGAGUGGCGGACGGGUGAGGAAUACAUCGGAAUCUACUUUUUCGUGGGGGAUAACGUAGGGAAACUUACGCUAAUACCUCAUACGACCUACGGGUGAAAGCAGGGGAUCUUCGGACCUUGCGCGAUUGAAUGGGCCGAUGUCGGAUUAGCUAGUUGGCGGGGUAAAGGCCCACCAAGGCGACGAUCCGUAGCUGGUCUGAGAGGAUGAUCAGCCACACUGGAACUGAGACACGGUCCAGACUCCUACGGGAGGCAGCAGUGGGGAAUAUUGGACAAUGGGCGCAAGCCUGAUCCAGCCAUACCGCGUGGGUGAAGAAGGCCUUCGGGUUGUAAAGCCCUUUUGUUGGGAAAGAAAAGCAGCAGGUUAAUACCCCGCUGUUCUGACGGUACCCAAAGAAUAAGCACCGGCUAACUUCGUG